rnacentral:tRNA from 1 species
GAGAGAGGCCUGCCGGCAACGAAGACUGCUAACCCUCGUACCCUUGGUUGAAAUCCAAAGCUCACUCG